AACGAACGCUGGCGGCAUGCCUAACACAUGCAAGUCGAACGAAGGCUUCGGCCUUAGUGGCGCACGGGUGCGUAACGCGUGGGAAUCUGCCCUUUGGUUCGGAAUAACAGCUGGAAACGGCUGCUAAUACCGGAUGAUGACGAAAGUCCAAAGAUUUAUCGCCAGAGGAUGAGCCCGCGUUGGAUUAGGUAGUUGGUGGGGUAAAGGCCUACCAAGCCGACGAUCCGUAGCUGGUCUGAGAGGAUGAUCAGCCACACUGGGACUGAGACACGGCCCAGACUCCUACGGGAGGCAGCAGUGGGGAAUAUUGGACAAUGGGCGCAAGACUGAUCCAGCAAUGCCGCGUGAGUGAUGAAGGCCCUAGGGUUGUAAAGCUCUUUUACCCGGGAAGAUAAUGACUGUACCGGGAGAAUACGCCCCGGCUAACUCCGUG
rnacentral:rRNA from 1 species